UUCCGGUUGAUCCCGCCGGAUCCGACUGCUAUCCGGGUAAGACUAAGCAUGCCAGUUGAAUGGAAUCGCAGAUUCCAUGGCAUACUGCUCAGUAACAAGUGAUCAACUUACCCUGCAGAGGGGUAUAACCUCGGGAAACUGAGGCUAAUUCCCCAUAGUUGGAGCGGCCUGGAAUGGUGCUCCAUCGAAAGAUACAGCGUUAUGUCGCUGAUUCGCUGCAGGAUAGGAUCGCUCUCGAUUACGGUAGUUGGUGAGGUAAUGGCUCACCAAGCCUAUGAUCGAUAAGGGCCGUGAGAGCGGGAGCCCUGAGAUGGAUACUGAGACAAUGAUCCAGGCCUUACGAGGCGCAGCAGGCGCGAAACCUUUACAAUGCACGCAAGUGCGAUAAGGUUACCCGGAGUGCCGAGAGAAAAACUUUCGGCUGUUAUAGGUGUGUAAACUACCCUAUGAGAAAGGAGAGGGCAAGGCUGGUGCCAGCCGCCGCGGUAAAACCAGCUCUUCAAGUGGUCGGGACUUUUAUUGGGCUUAAAGUGUCCGUAGCCGGUUAGAUAAGUUCCUGGUUAAAUCUGGCAGCUUAACUGUCAGUUCGCUAGGAAUACUAUCUUACUAGAGGGUGGGAGAGGUUUGAGGUACUCCAGGGGUAGCGGUGAAAUGCGAUAAUCCUUGGGGGACCACCAGUGGCGAAGGCGUCAGACUGGAACACGCCUGACGGUGAGGGACGAAAGCCAGGGGAGCGAACGGGAUUAGAUACCCCGGUAGUCCUGGCCGUAAACGAUGCGUGCUAGGUGUUGGUAGGGCUUGGAGCUGUAUCAGUGCCAAAGGGAAACUGUUAAGCGCGCCGCCUGGGAAGUACGCUCGCAAGAGUGAAACUUAAAGGAAUUGGCGGGGGAGCACCACAAGGGGUGAAGCCUGCGGUUCAAUUGGAUUCAACGCCGGA
rnacentral:rRNA from 1 species